UUGUCACCUUUUUUGAGUCCUCCUUUUCACUUUCGUAUUCCUUGGUCAGCCUGUUUUUCUUUUUUUCACUUUUUUGUCAUUUUUUCUCCACUAAAUUUCCUCUCAAGCCUUUUUUUUCCCAUCCUUUCAAGUUUCCCCUCGUCAGUCAGUUUUAUUAUUAUUAUUAUUAUUAUUAUUAUUAUUAUUAUUAUUAUUAUUAUUAUUAUUUUCCCACUUUGUCAGUCAGUUGUUCCUUGUCAAUUCUUUCCCUCACAUCUUCCUCUCCCUCACCCUCUUUAACAUUCAGUCUGUACUUAAGUAUAGGAAAGUGAAGGAGUAAGGAGGAGGAGGUAAAAUGGGCAGAAAAUUGUAGAAAGGAAGCUGGAUAAGUUUUGCUAGUGUGUAUGUGUGUGUGGGUUUCAUUUUUUGUGUGUGUAUGAGAGAGAGAGAGAGAGAGAGAGACUAGAACAAAAAGUGAUUGAAAUGAAAUAACAAGAAAAAAAGAAAGAAAAUAAGACUGGAAGGAAAAGUGAGAGAAAUAUGACGUAUAAGAGAGAGAGAGAGACUAGGGCGAAAGGUAAUAUUGAAAUGAAAGAACGAGAAAAAAAGAAAGAAAAUAAGACUGGAAGGAAAAAUGAGAGAAAGAUGACGUAUAAGAGAGAGAGAGAGAGAGAAAUAUAACCACAUAAGCAAGGCAGCCAUGAGAGAUUCCCCCAUUAUGUCUUCCCUCAGCACUGCAUCAAACACUUAUUAUUACAAGGAUCACCCGCCAGCCAGCCAGCCACUCACGGAUAGCUCUGUCACGCACUCAUUAUGGUUUAUCACAGUCACCAAAACAUCCCUAUUAGUAAUCUUGCCUUGCCAAACUCUACACUAUUACCUUCAUGGGCAUCUAGAGAGGGGCGGCACGGGGGAACAGUUGCCCUCUUCGGAAAUCUUGUCACAUUCCCAUUCACACAUUUUUAAGUUACCGCAGAAUUUAAUAUUUUUAUAAACACCAGGAGUACACUUUGGGUUGGUAUCUGAACACUCGCUCCUCACAUCAGCCAGUUCUUAAGGUCAAAAUGGGGGUCAGACGGGUUCUAAUGAGAGUUUCUUUAGGUUCAAGGGACAGAAGAAGGGUUAAACUACCAUCAGGGUCGUAAAACUUCUCUUGGAAAUGCCCCAAACUCCUAUAAAAGCCUUGUCGAAUAUGUGAACUUGGGCGCAGAAAUGUCUAAAAAUACGACUUUAGAUUUCUUUGUUAUAAUUUUUUGUUCUUAUUUUUUCACCUGUUUUCUCUCACUCAGUUUUCUUUAUUUUUUUCACUAGUUUUUCUUUGUACUAAUUAUUUUUUUUUUUCACUUGUUCUCCCCCUUCGAUCUCUUUUUCUGUUGCGGUUCAGAAAAGAGAGGAAAAAAUUAAGUAUGAUGUUUAUAUGUAUAGAGCCGAGAGCAUAUAUUGGCUCUGCUCCCCCUUGUAAAAUUCCUGUGGACGCCCCUGACAACCUUACCUUACCUUGCUGUUCUUUACCAAACUCUUCUAUGCACAUCUUUCAUUGAGGGUCAGAUUGUAUCACUGCAUAGGUUGGGCCAGGCAGAAUUUAUCCCGUCCCAUGUACUAGAUAGAAUAUGGUGUCUGGGAACAUUAUUUUUAUUAUUAUUAUUAUUAUUAUUAUUAUUAUUUACAAGUUUAUUUUUAUGGCCCUUUUUUGUUCACAGUGUUUGUUUAUGGGUUAAUAUUUUGUGAUGUUUAUUCCCAUUAUUAUUAUUAUUAUUUAUGUAUCUAUCUUUCUCAUUCCAUUCCCACAUAAUUUUGGUUUGGCAAGGAAGAGGAAGAAGGAAGGAAGGAAGGAAUAAGAAAAAUGAAAAUUAAUAAAAGUUUCUACGAUU